GAGCGAUGAAGAUAAUCACCAAGUGAUGGCUGGGUCCAUCACGAUCAUCUGAUCUUUGGAUGAAAGCAAGUGCCGUCUGAGCUC
rfam:Citrus clementina cultivar Clemenules unplaced genomic scaffold scaffold_7, whole genome shotgun sequence.